rnacentral:rRNA from 1 species
UACGAAGGGGACUAGCGUUGUUCGGAAUCACUGGGCGUAAAGCGCACGUAGGCGGAUGUGCCAGUCAGGGGUGAAAUCCCGGGGCUCAACCUCGGAACUGCCUUUGAUACAGCACGUCUCGAGUCCGGAAGAGGUGGGUGGAAUUCCUAGUGUAGAGGUGAAAUUCGUAGAUAUUAGGAAGAACACCGGUGGCGAAGGCGGCCCACUGGUCCGGUACUGACGCUGAGGUGCGAAAGCGUGGGGAGCAAACAGG